CACGGGGGUUGCGAGCGUUGUCCGGAAUUACUAGGCGUAAAGGGCAGGCAGGCGGAUCCAUAAGUUUAUCGUUUAAGGCGUCGGCUUAACCGGCGUAGGGCGGUAGAUACUGUGGAUCUGGAAUGCGGUUGGGGAAGACAGAAUUCCUGGUGUAGCGGUGGAAUGCGCAGAGAUCAGGAGGAAUACCGAAGGCGAAGGCAGUCUUCCAAGCCGUUAUUGAUGCUCAACUGCGAAGGUGUGGGUAUCAAACAGGAUUAGAUACCCGGGUAGUCCCUGAG
rnacentral:rRNA from 1 species